AUACGGAGGGGGCUAGCGUUGUUCGGAAUUACUGGGCGUAAAGCGCUCGUAGGCGGCUUGUAAAGUCGGAUGUGAAAGCCCUGGGCUCAACCUGGGAACUGCAUUCGAUACUGGCAAGCUAGAGUAUAGUAGAGGCAAGUGGAAUUCCGGGUGUAGCGGUGAAAUGCGUAGAUAUCCGGAGGAACAUCAGUGGCGAAGGCGACUUGCUGGACUAAUACUGACGCUGAGGAGCGAAAGCGUGGGGAGCAAACGGGAUUAGAAACCCCAGUAGUCC
rnacentral:rRNA from 1 species